GGCGGCGUGCCUAAUACAUGCAAGUAGAACGCUGAAGCUUGGUGCUUGCACCGAGCGGAUGAGUUGCGAACGGUGAGUAACGCGUAGGUAACCUGCCUGGUAGCGGGGGAUAACUAUUGGAAACGAUAGCUAAUACCGCAUAAAAUGGAUUAUCGCAUGAUAAUUCAUUGAAAGGUGCAAAUGCAUCACUACCAGAUGGACCUGCGUGUAUUAGCUAGUUGGUGGGGUAACGGCUCACCAAGGCGACGAUACAUAGCCGACCUGAGAGGGUGAUCGGCCACACUGGGACUGAGACACGGCCCAGACUCCUACGGGAGGCAGCAGUAGGGAAUCUUCGGCAAUGGACGGAAGUCUGACCGAGCAACGCCGCUGAGUGAAGAAGGUUUUCGGAUCGUAAAGCUCUGUUGUAAGAGAAGAACGAGUGUGAGAGUGGAAAGUUCACACUGUGACUG
rnacentral:rRNA from 1 species